rnacentral:rRNA from 1 species
GUGGGGAAUAUUGGACAAUGGGGGGAACCCUGAUCCAGCCAUGCCGCGUGUGUGAAGAAGGCCUUUUGGUUGUAAAGCACUUUAAGCGAGGAGGAGGCUACCGAGAUUAAUACUCUUGGAUAGUGGACGUUACUCGCAGAAUAAGCACCGGCUAACUCUGUGCCAGCAGCAGCGGUAAUACAGAGGAUGCAAGCGUUAAUCGGAUUUACUGGGCGUAAAGCGCGCGUAGGUGGCCAAUUAAGUCAAAUGUGAAAUCCCCGAGAUUAACUUGGGAAUUGCAUUCGAUACUGGUUGGCUAGAGUAUGGGAGAGGAUGGUAGAAUUCCAGGUGUAGCGGUGAAAUGCGUAGAGAUCUGGAGGAAUACCGAUGGCGAAGGCAGCCAUCUGGCCUAAUACUGACACUGAGGUGCGAAAGCAUGGGGAGCAAACAGGAUUAGAUACCCUGGUAGUCC